rnacentral:rRNA from 1 species
UUCACAAUAAAUAAAAAUUUUUAUUCAAUUAAACUAAAUCAUUAUUAAAACUUAGUAAAGGAGAUAAAAAAGUCACCAGGAGCAAUGAAACUAGUACCGCAAGGGAAAGAUGAAAUAAAAAUGAAAUAAAUUUAAGUAGGAAAAAGCAGAGAUCUGCCCUCGUACCUUUUGCAUCAUGGUUUAACUAGUUCAACCAAGCAAAAAGAAUUUAAGUUUGACUUCCCGAAACUAGGUGAGCUACUUCAAGGCAGUUUAUUGAGCCAACCCGUCUCUGUUGCAAAAGAGUGGGAAGACCUUCAAGUAGGGGUGAUAGACCUACCGAGCCUAGUGAUAGCUGGUUAUUCAGGAAAAGAAUAUUAGUUCAACUAAAAAUUACCUAAAUAUAAAUAAAUAUUACUCUAAUUUUUAAGCAAUUCAAAUAAGGUACAGCCUAUUUGAAACAGGAUACAACCUAAACUAACGGGUAACUUUUCUAGCACUUAUAUUUAAGUAGGCCUAAUAGCAGCCAACUUUAAAAAAGCGUCAAAGCUUACUUAUAUGCUACUCUAAUACCUUAAUAAACUUUAAACCCUUUAUCAAUACUGAAUACUUCUAUAUACUCUAUAGAACUUUUUAUGUUAAAACUAGUAACAAGAAGAAAAACUUCUCUUUAAUGUAAAUGUAAGACGGCUAGAAUGCCCCACCGACAAUUAACGCCUGUGAACAACCAGUAAAAACUUUGCAAGAAAAAUCUACUACUUUUCACGUUAACCUUACACAAGAACAUUACAAGAAAGAUUUAAAGAAAAGGAAGGAACUCGGCAAAUUUUAACCUCGCCUGUUUACCAAAAACAUCGCCUCUUGCUAAUUAUAAGAGGUCUAGCCUGCCCAGUGAUAUAAUUCAACGGCCGCGGUAUCCUAACCGUGCGAAGGUAGCGUAAUCACUUGUUCUUUAAAUGAGGACUAGUAUGAACGGCAUCACGAGGGUUAAGCUGUCUCCCAUUUCUAAUCAGUGAAACUGAUCUCCCCGUGAAGAAGCGGGGAUGAUUUUAUAAGACGAGAAGACCCUAUGGAGCUUUAAACUAUUCAACAAUUGCUAUACUACUAUUAAUUUUCAGAAUAUAAAAUUUAUUUUAACAAUAUGAUUGCUAGUUUUCGGUUGGGGUGACCGCGGAGUAUAAAUUAACCUCCACAAUGAAAGAAACUGUAUUUCUUAACCCAGAGCUACACCUCCAAGUAUCAAAAAUUUGACAUAAAUUGAUCCAAUUAAAUUGAUCAACGAACCAAGUUACCCUAGGGAUAACAGCGCAAUCCACUUCAAGAGCCCCUAUCGACAAGUGGGUUUACGACCUCGAUGUUGGAUCAGGGUAUCCU